rnacentral:rRNA from 1 species
UACGAAGGUCCCAAGCGUUGUUCGGAAUCACUGGGCGUAAAGGGAGCGUAGGCGGCGUGGUAAGUCAGAUGUGAAAUCCCGGGGCUCAACCCCGGAACUGCAUCCGAUACUGCCAUGCUAGAGGAUUGGAGAGGUAGCUGGAAUUCUUGGUGUAGCAGUGAAAUGCGUAGAGAUCAAGAGGAACACUCGUGGCGAACGCGAGCUACUGGACAAUUCCUGACGCUGAGGCUCGAAGGCUAGGGUAGCGAAAGGG